rnacentral:lncRNA from 1 species
GGUCAAGGCUUUGUGUGCUCAAAUGCCAGUAGUGCUAGCUACUGAUGACUCACAGUUGCAUACAACUCUGGGAAUUGCCCUCAGCUGAAGGCAGCUGCCUUGCCCAAAUCUGUGCUCCUGUUCUUGGCUGCAGCCAUAUCCAAUGAUGGAUUGUUGUGAGGCUAAAUCAAAAUACGUCUGGAAAUUUCAUUGGCUCUACCUUCAAAAUGUAUUCAGAAUUCAGAAAGUUCUUCAGGCAAAAGGAAUAUGAAACCAACCGUAAACUUGGAUCUACAUCAAGAAAUGAAGAGCGCUGGAAAUGGGAUAAAGUAAGAAUUUGAAAAUUUAAUUCAGAAUGACUUCCCUGACUCUGGAAGAAGUGAAACAAAGCUAUAUUCAGCCUUUCAUUAUCUUUCAAUUAAUUAUGAUCCUUGGAACAAUUUGGGCCUGGGAAUUUAAACUGCCAAAUUUGCCUUCUGGGAUGCUUUUCUUUCACAAAUUAGUGUUUCUCAAAAGCAUCCCAUAAAAAUAAUGACACUGACAGUCUAGACAAACAAAGCAGCUGCUUUUCUUUCAACAGUUCUCUUUGAGCUGGGAGAUACAAUUCUACGUCUAUAAUUACAUCUCAGACUGUAUUUCAAAAACACUUUUAAAAACUGGCAUUGUGUGUCCUGCAGAUGAUGAAAC